rnacentral:lncRNA from 1 species
GAAGGUGUAUGAAAGAUGCAAGAAAAGUAAGUGCAAGUGUGUGAAAUUGUAUAAAGGUGCUUGUGUGAAAUUGUAUAAAGUUCAAGUAUUUUUCGUGUGCAAGUGUAUGAAAAGGUGCAUGUGUGGAAUUGUAUGAAAAAUCCAAGUGUUUGUGUGCAAGUGUAUGAAAUAUAGUGAUAAGUGCAUAUAGGUGUAAUUAAAUGCAAUUUUGUGAAGUAGAAAU